UACGUAGGGUGCGAGCGUUGUCCGGAAUUAUUGGGCGUAAAGGGCUCGUAGGCGGUUUGUCGCGUCGGGAGUGAAAACCCAGGGCUUAACCCUGGGCUGGCUUCCGAUACGGGCAGACUAGAGGUAUGCAGGGGAGAACGGAAUUCCUGGUGUAGCGGUGAAAUGCGCAGAUAUCAGGAGGAACACCGGUGGCGAAGGCGGGUCUCUGGCCGAUACUGACGCUGAGGAGCGAAAGCGUGGGGAGCGAACAGG
rnacentral:rRNA from 1 species